GUUGCAGCUAAAGCUCGUAGUUGGAUUUGUGGUUGCAGUGGCUGGUCCCGCACUGUGUGUGGGUACUUUGUUUUCUGCGAUCAUCCUUGGGUGGAAUCUGUGUGGCAUUAGGUUGUCGUGCAGGGGAUGCCCAUCGUUUACUGUGAAAAAAUUAGAGUGUUCAAAGCAGGCUUAUGCCGUUGAAUAUAUUAGCAUGGAAUAAUGAGAUAGGACCUGGGUACUAUUUUGUUGGUUUGCGCACCGAGGUAAUGAUUAAUAGGGACAGUUGGGGGUAUUCGUAUUCCAUUGUCAGAGGUGAAAUUCUUGGAUUUUUGGAAGACGAACUACUGCGAAAGCAUUUACCAAGGAUGUUUUCAUUAAUCAAGAACGAAAGUUAGGGGAUCGAAGAUGAUUAGAUACAUUUCGUAGUCCACCCCCAUUCUUAGACCGCUCAAAGACGAACUACAGCGAAGGCAUUCUCCAAGGGAUACCUUCCUCAAUCAAAGAACCAAAGUGUGGAGAUCGAUGAUGAUUAGAUACCAUCCGUAGUCAA
rnacentral:rRNA from 1 species